AGUUGAGGGAGGGGAGAUUUAGGUUGGACAUCAGGGGGAAAUUCUUUACCCAGAGAGUGGUGAGGUGCUGGAACAGGCUGCCCAGAGAGGUUGUGGAUGCCCCGUCCUUGGAGGUGUUCAAGGCCAGGUUGGAUGGGGCCCUGGGCAGCCUGGUUUAGCAUUAAACGUGGAGGUUGGUGGCCCUGCAUGUGUCAGGGGGGUUGGAGAUUCAUGAUCCUUGAGGUCCCUUCCAACCCUGGCCAUUCGGUGAUUCAUGAGGCCUCCACAAUGAGCAAUGUUUAGGGAACGUGGUGCUUGUAGUGAAGCCUGUGCAUGGAGUCUUGAUUUGCACACCUUCGUGCAGGGCGUACAGUGACUGAGAACAGUUGGAAACCUGGGAAGCUGCAGUGACCCAAAGCCCACAUAGCAGCCCCUUUAGAGAUCUCAGUUUGAGAAUGACCUGGAGGGUUCCCAAAUACAACACAUGGUUCCUGCAUAGGUUUGCUUUUUUUUUUCUUGCUUUUUUUUUUUUUUUUUUUUUUUUUUUUUUUUUUUUCAUCUGGAGUGGUGUCCAAUGCAAGCCCAGCAUCCUGUGGGAGAGAAGUGACAGAGCAUUUCUUGGGACUAGGUUGGGGUGCUGUUAAACAUUAGGUAGCACAGGUUGCACAGGUGUGUGUAUUCUGCACCAGAGAUAUGCUCAGAAAUGAAGCUCUUUGCAUUGAUCAGUAUGAGCUUCUGCAGGAUUGCCAGCAAGAAGGCUGGUAGACUUUAGUCUGAAGAUGUUCAUUUUUAACUUGCAGCAAAGUUUACGUUUUUUUUAUGCCAGAAAAUAAACUGUCAGAUGCAAAAGCCUAUACUAGGUGAUAAAGCAGUUAGAAAUGGCAAAUAUAUUGUCUUAUCUUAUUCCAAGCUUCGUUUUGUCAGGAUUCUCUCUCCUUACUAAGAUCAAGAGGAAAGAGGAUCAAGAAUAAAUGAGGCUUUGUGUAUCCUGAGUGCUCAUGGACAACACACGGAAGCAUUUGUUUCAUAGGCAGCCUUCAGUGGGGAAAAGUCAGUUUCUCUGCAGAGGAGCGCUGUAGGGAACACCACCAUGGAGGUGGUGAGCAUGCAGCGUAACCAGGAGCUAAGUUGGUAAUCAUCUGGGAGAAGUCGCCAGUAAGUGUUCUCUGUGGCUCAGAAGAGAGACUUAGCAAGGUAUGUGUGCUGACAGGUCUGUGGAGGGAUCGUGGUCUCCUUCAGACGCACCAUUGCUGCCGGAACUAAAAGUGGUAUAUAGCUAUAACGCCGUAGUACCACUGGUCUAUUUGAUAUUCCAGCAGUUUGGGGAACAAAUGGCUUGGCAUACCUUCAGGAACUUUGGCAGCUGCUGUCUGAUGAGGGCAACAUUGAUCAGCUAUCAGCUGUAGAGAAGCCUGGCUUUGCAGAACCUGCUGUUGAGCCCGACUUCUUAAAUUUUCUCAUAAAAACUUUUAUGCUUUACCAUGGGGCUUUGUGCUCCAUUUAUACAUAACUAUUAAUACUGACAAAUUACCCACAUGCAUCAAGAAGUUUCUUCAGAAAGCUUCAAAACUCAUCCUUGUGUACGAGGAGAAGUAAGUCUCUCUUCAGGCUUACACAGGAUCAUCUUGUGCAUCAGUCUGUUAGCAUAAGAGAAUUUUUAUGCUUCUGUCAUAGCCCCAUAUUCUUGCCAGGAAAACUUAACAUGUAUGUCCCUUUAUUAUUUUUAUCUCUAGCCAUUCUAAAAAUGCCAAUUUUUUGCUGUACAUCAUAUAAAUGAAAGAAACAUGUCCAAUAUACUGCAUACAUCCUCAGUCAACGAAUGGGGAUCAAAACAGCCUGGGUUAUACAUCUAGCACUAACCAUUUCCAUGAAGUGUUUGAUGAAAGACUUAGCUGAAGCGCAAAUUAUUUUUUUUGCAGGCUGAUAAUUGAUGCUGUUUAGCUCUUACCCUGCACCGUUCCUAAAUGCUUCGUGUUCUCAGAGAAACCGGUUGCUCCAACUAAAAAUAUCCCUCCGGAAUGCUGACCUAACAAAAACACUUCAGGCAUCUGCUGUUGUACCUACAAAAGCUAAAGCAGUGCACUUGAGGGUACCAGCUUCCUUCUCACUGCUUAAAAGAAAAAAAGCCCUCUGUGUCAGGGUUUACGUGAUCAACAGCAGGAGGCCUAACAGAUUUUAUCAGUAGAAAGCCUUCCCUGAUACAAGGUGACAAUCUUUAGCUGCACUGAGGCUUUUUUCCACUUUAACAAGUCCUGUGUGUUGACUCAGUUAUGUGAAGACUUAAAGUUAGAAUUUUUUCACUAUUUGAAUGGGGAGGGGAAAAUAAAAACAAAUAAAAAAACCCUGGAGUUGUGUACAAAUAAAACAAUAAUUCAUAAUCUAAAAUAGAAAAGAUACAUUCAAGUGCAUUGAGGGGGACAAGAACUAAAGAACCAUUUUUAACCAAGGCACCUGGGCAACUAAUAAAAAUUGUGGAAGUUCUGUUGCCUGCUGCUGCCUCUCUCUACUCCAGCACUACAAAACAAGAGAUAAUAGAUCUGGAAAUGACAAAGGGAGCAACAAAGGUGUCUGAAAGUACCAAGGUGCUCUCUUGAAGAAAAAUUAAUGAUGUAAGAUAAAAAAUGCCAAAAAAUCAGUUCAUUUUCUAAAGGGUGGCUUGCUGAGGAGGUUAAUUUUGUACAAUGAUAAGCAGCAAUUGUGCUGCGUAAGAAAUUAUUUUUUUACUAACAAUAAUUUCACAAUACUAAAUGAAAGUUGUUGAGCCAUUCAUAAUGCACUGUCAUCCUCACAAGCAGAAUUAAGUGGUGGGAUGCCUUUCUGUGUGACUUCCGUGGGUGUUUAUGCUCAUGGUUCAAAAACCAACUUGAAACUCAGGAAAAAAAUUCCUUUUCAGGAUAUGCCCAAGAUUCAAAUCGGAGUCAAAGAAUGUUCUGGGAAAGUAUUCUAUUCUUUCUAUGCUUUUAUAACUCUUUCCUAGGUAUCCCCUGUUGACCAUCAUCACAAGCAGGAUGCUCACCUGGAUGAACAUUUGCUGAUCCAGCACAGCUGUUUUAUGUGUCUGUUGAGUAUCUGUUGUGAAAAACUUGCACUGCACUUUGAAUCCUACAGGUCUCAUCUUAUUUACGAGAGGCACAGGUGCUGCCUCACUUAGCAGUGUUUACCAGAAGUGCCCGUCAUGUUAUGAAUGCUUUCUUGACACUUUUUAAUUCAGCAGAGUUGAGAGAAUGUGGCUCAGGUUCUUCCUCAAAUGUGAGAAUUUCACUCAUUAACCACCAAGCUGUCAGUGGAAACAAACUCAGGAUGUGACAUACUUUGUGGAAAUAGUUAUCUUUCCAGGGCAGGAUUUUCUUUAAACCCCACUGUAAACAGAUAAUUUCAUUUAGAUUGAACUCUUAAGCAUGUGUUACAGCAUUCUUUUAACUAUUUCCAUUAGUACAGCAGCUCUUCUUUUGCAAUUUUUUUUUUUGCAAAUUCUCAAAUCCAGCCACUAUGAAAAAUGAAAAAAAUCCUCAAUAUGAAGUUAAAUUCCAUACCUAAACAGCUUAUCUCUUGCUCUUAUACUACACAAACUGGAGAUUAUACCUUUGCCAAACAUUUACCACAAGCCUAAUGUUAAUUUCUUCAAGCAUUUAUGUAGUGUCUCCUCUAAUGCCUCUCUUUACAGAUAUUCUCUGUUGGGAUUUUUUUUGGGGGGGAGGGUUUUGUGGGGUUUUUUUUUGGCCUAUAUUUCUUUCUUUAUUUCUUGUGGUCUGUAAAUUAUUGCCUUCUGCAGCCACUUUGCAAAUUUCCACUCUACAUCCUUGUUUCAAUGUCCCAUAAACUACUAUUUGUCAGAGGACAAACUAAUAAUCUAAUAUACUCUGUUCUUCUCUCUGUUAUUUAAAAGACAAACUGUGCAGAUCAGUGAUCUUUUGAGACAUUUCACCUAUCUUUCUUAGCAAAUUUUUCCUUUCUUUCUGACAUUCUGUUCUCCCAAAGCAGCUCUCCUUCCCUGUUCUUCUGAAGGCAAUUCAUGUGGGAUUUUGCCCAGUAAUCUAAGGGCUCUGUUGCUGUGUCCAGAGGUUACCUUCUGCCCUGGGUUAUCCCUAUCCAAUUUAAUCUUGUAAUAUUGUGGAUCAACUCAUGGUUGGAGAUUGUACUCGUCCAGGAAGCAAAGGUAGGAGCCCAGUCUCACGGUGGGCAGCACACGAUCACACAAACAAUGAGUGCAGGUCUGUAUAGACAGUGCAGGGAGCUGACCCUCAAAAGGCUGUAAAUCUGAUUAUUAGCAGACUAUUGACUCAGUAACAGACAAAUGCACAUGACUACAUUUAUAACAGUAGAACCAGUUUUGUUUAUCUGAAUGCUAAUAAUUACCCAAAUUCAUGAGCUGAAACAGUAAGUUGGUGGACAUUCUUAAAGUUUUAAUCUGAAAAGUUGAAUUCCCUAUUCAUGCUUAAUUUUUUGGGGAUCUGAGUCUGUUCACAUUUCUUUCCUAUUUGCUGAAUAUUCUUUUGACAUUUAUUUCAAGAAAGCUUUCUGCUGAAAAGUUGAAGUUAAAAAUUGAAGUGAAUCCUUCAAUUUCAGCUUCUGGAAAGGAUCCACAGAAAUUAUCAGGGAAAUAUGCAUAAGGGAAAACUAAUUCCUGACAGGUUAGAGAUGAAGGAUUGUAUGAUACAAAUUAGCCUCCACAGCCUUAUCCUUGAGAAAAACAAGUAGAUUUGAAAAGGAGACAUUAUAGACUGAAGACAAAAAGAAAACCUGAAAGGCAAAAACAGACUGUAUGCAGAGUAAAUUAAAUGCAGUCUGGCUAUGUGAAUCUGUACUUACAGCUUGCUGCCUAAGGAAACAUCUAAGAUUAAACUAAAACACAAAAACAACAAAAAACAAUCUCAUUUUGUUAAAUAAGAUUUCUGUUUUUCUGGAAAGCAAAACUCCUCAAUGUUUUUCAGCGUAGCAGAAGUCAGGCAUGGGUUGUAGAGGGUGGCCGGAGCUGCACUGUGGUGGAGCAGAAUGGGGUAAAGCAGGUUGUGGCAGGACGUGGCCAACAGAACAAAACUGAAUUGAGGAAAAUCUUGAGUCUUCUCAGAUGGCGAGGUGUAAUUACUGCCAAACAAAAAUGUGGCAGUUUUAUGUGAAAUAAACAUAUGGUUGAACUUUGAAUCUGUAAUUUAAAAGAAACUUUUACAUAAAGUACAGAACUCAGAUAGAAGCAGAAUCCGACUUCUUUUCCUGGCUGCCGCUGGUUUGCUUUGAGAGUCACUUCCUAUGUCCCAGAUACAUUAUGCUAGCCAUCACAUCUCUAUGAAAUACUUUAAAUGUUACACAUUUUAAAGAGUUAUUCCUUAUAAAAAGCAUUAAAAAAAAAGAAGAAAGACAAACAAUCCCAGGAAGUUAAACUGAGAGGGUCAGGUUAGAAGGCGGUAAGUAUGCAUAUUCUGAGGAAGAUUAAUUUCCUCUGGACAGGCUGUACAGAGCCUUGCUGUGAAUGUGCACCUUAUUUGUGUGGGUUUUUUUUUUUUUUUUUUUUUUUUU